rnacentral:rRNA from 1 species
UACGUAGGGUGCGAGCGUUGUCCGGAAUUAUUGGGCGUAAAGAGCUCGUAGGCGGUCUGUCGCGUCGGUCGUGAAAACUUGGGGCUUAACCCUGAGCUUGCGGUCGAUACGGGCAUGACUGGAGUACUGCAGGGGAGACUGGAAUUCCUGGUGUAGCGGUGGAAUGCGCAGAUAUCAGGAGGAACACCGGUGGCGAAGGCGGGUCUCUGGGCAGUAACUGACGCUGAGGAGCGAAAGCGUGGGGAGCGAACAGG